ensembl:snoRNA
ACCCUUUUGUGGUUCAUAAGUAUGGUGGUUCGGUUUUCACGCUCAUGUGUGAGACGUGCCUCUCUCCAACCUUGUUACAGCACAGGCACAUUACCCAUCUGACA